AGGGAAAGGGGGGUGGGGUUGGGGGGGGGGGCAAUGCUUUUGAUCUUGACCGCUGCAAUCCAUCCCUAUCGCCGCUUACCGCUGGUGUCCUCUCGACGAAGAGAGUGAUGCAAGACGCUUUUUUCCAAGCCCUUUUUCCUUAACCAAAAAUGUGCCUUACCGAUAGGACGACGCGUAGAUAUAUAGAUGUGUCCUUUCUAAAAUUCUAUCGAUAACUUAAAAGUGAUUUAUGAUUCUAGUGCUAUAGACACAGCAAUGUAUUUGGAAUUGUGAUUUUUUGUGUGCUGUCAAGAAAAGAAAAAAAUAUAUAAAGCUAAUCACCCUGCUGCAGCCAUGUGCGUGCCAAUAGGCUGAAGACAUUGUUUUAUUUUAUGUGCACUUUUCCUUUUUGGGUGUCUGUGGUGUGUGUGUGUGUGUGUGUGUGUGUGUGUGUGUGUGUGUGUGUUAGGCCUUCUGUGACUAUGGCCCAAGCGAAUAAAUGUAAAGCAAUGUCCAUCCCCAAAUUCCCAUUCAAAUGGUUGGAACCCUAAAAAUUCGCCUCAAGUCAAAAAGGAUAAUUGUGUGUAGAUCGAUUAUAGCUCAAAACUGUUGCAAUGGUGUUUUUCCUUCUUUUGCUGUGUGUUUCUACCGUGUGUAUGAUUAAUGACUAUCUAUACUCGACAAAAGAGCUUUCUUACUGCUGUGCAGUUAUUUUUGUUUCCUAUAACAUAUAUACCUUUGUAAAAACAUGUUGAAAUACUGUACUCUUCACUGUAUAAUCCUAUGCAUUGAGUCCUGGGGCGUGGGGGGAGGGGGGAAUUAAGUUUAUUUGUGCAGUUGUCGAGACAUUUUCUCCUCUCCCUUCCAUUUUGAAAACUUGUGAAAGUGCCGUGGUGAUAAAAACUAAACUGGAACGGUCUCAUUUUCAACGCUGGCGAAAGCAAUGUCCCUUUCAACCCGAGGCAGCUCACAAGCCAAUCUUGAUCUGUUUCGUAGUGGAUGAACUCACUCCUCCAAAGUUUAUGUGCGUGCGUGUGCGUCUGUGUGUGUGUGGAUGGAGCAUUUACACAUGGGUUUCAUCACCCACGCCACCGUGAAUAAAUUUCUCAGAG
ensembl:lncRNA